GCUCAACUGCACGCUCCUUUACCUGGCAUCAUAAAAAUCAGGUAAUUUCCUUCCUCUAGAAUCCACAAUUACAAUAGAGUUCGAGUAUUUAACAAAAACGUCCCUAAAUACAAAUACCUAGGUUCAUCUCUACAAUUAGAAAAUCGAAUGAUUUAAUCCUUGAUGUUUGAAUUCAUUAACAAAUUAAUCAUUCUAUCUAAAUUCUAAUUAUCUUGGUUCACAAAUUACUCCUCUUAUACAGUGAGCAAAGACUUGAUGCUGCAAGCAAUUUUUUUUCUUUACACAUUUGAUGGUUGUCUGUUAUCCUUAAAAUGAAAAUUCUUUUUGUUGUUUUAAGAACUAAUUUCUUCCUCCAACUUACAAGCUUCAAAUCCUUUAUCCUCUGUUGCCAGCAGGCAUCAAGAGUUCCUGCCUCCUAGAAGAUUUUCCAAGUUCAAGAUCAUUUAGCAUUAUACCAUGAUCUAUGUUGUGGGGUGAAGUGAAAGCUGUAAACGAGCGAACACCACAAAGAAGAGCAGUCUAAACUUAUUUUCAUUUUUCAAAAGAAACAGUGAUCUACUCAAAGACACCUGCUUUUCAAACUCGUAGCAAGCAUUCUCAAGAAGUUAAUCUGGUUUAUCAAACUGAGAAAUGACUUUCAAUUGCCACUGAGCCAGUAGCCUGAAAGUCAAAUGCUUAAUUUGCAUUGUAGGUCAAUGGAUUCAUACUCCCACUUCCACCUUCUUGUGAUGUAGACACAUACGAUGAGCUGUUAGUUGAAUUGGUUGUAACAGAGAAUGAGUAGCACGUAAGAUAUAUAAAUACAUUGAUACUGAACAUGUAAAAUCAUCAAUUGAAAUAGAAUGACAGAAUUCUUCUUCCUACUCUAUUUCUUUCUCUCUUCUUCUAUCUCCACUCUUUCCUCCUCUUCUUCUCCUUCUUCUUCCCUUUCCCUGUUUCCAUGCUA
rnacentral:misc_RNA from 1 species